rnacentral:rRNA from 1 species
AGAGUUUGAUCAUGGCUCAGGACGAACGCUGGCGGCGCGCCUAACGCAUGCAAGUCGAACGGAACCUGACGGUCUGAAGUUUUCGGAUGGACGACGGUCUGGUUUAGUGGCGAACGGGUGAGUAGCACGUGAGGAACCUGCCCUUCAGUGGGGGACAACAGCUGGAAACGGCUGCUAAUACCGCAUAAGACCACGGUACCGCAUGGUACAGUGAUCAAAGGAUCUAUUCGCUGAAGGAUGGCCUCGCGUCCGAUUAGGUAGUUGGUGAGGUAACGGUCCACCAAGCCGACGAUCGGUAGCCGGACUGAGAGGUUGAUCGGCCACAUUGGGACUGAGACACGGCCCAG